rnacentral:rRNA from 1 species
AGUCGAGCGGAUGAAGGAGCUUGCUCCUGGAUUCAGCGGCGGACGGGUGAGUAAUGCCUAGGAAUCUGCCUGGUAGUGGGGGACAACGUUUCGAAAGGAACGCUAAUACCGCAUACGUCCUACGGGAGAAAGCAGGGGACCUUCGGGCCUUGCGCUAUCAGAUGAGCCUAGGUCGGAUUAGCUAGUUGGUGAGGUAAUGGCUCACCAAGGCGACGAUCCGUAACUGGUCUGAGAGGAUGAUCAGUCACACUGGAACUGAGACACGGUCCAGACUCCUACGGGAGGCAGCAGUGGGGAAUAUUGGACAAUGGGCGAAAGCCUGAUCCAGCCAUGCCGCGUGUGUGAAGAAGGUCUUCGGAUUGUAAAGCACUUUAAGUUGGGAGGAAGGGUUGUAGAUUAAUACUCUGCAAUUUUGACGUUACCGACAGAAUAAGCACCGGCUAACUCUGUGCCAGCAGCCGCGGUAAUACAGAGGGUGCAAGCGUUAAUCGGAAUUACUGGGCGUAAAGCGCGCGUAGGUGGUUUGGUUAAGUUGGAUGUGAAAUCCCCGGGCUCAACCUGGGAACUGCAUCCAAAACUGGCAAGCUAGAGUAUGGUAG